UCCCUGGUGGCUCAGAGGGUAUGGCAUCUGCCUGCAAUGCAGGAGACCUGGGUUCGAUCCCUGGGUUGGGAA
rnacentral:tRNA from 1 species